rnacentral:lncRNA from 1 species
ACGGCCUGGGGCAUGUGGAUUUCUAGCCACGUUGGUGAUUCAGAUAGGACAUUUGAGGAGGCUGAAGAAGGUUUAAAAUAUGAAAGAGAUCUUACCCAAUAAAUCGGUCUCAGCUUAAAUGGCACCUCCUCUCUGAACACAGUGAAGUCCCAGCAUCCCCACCCCCAUAUUCUAUAUCCCAAUCCCUUCACAGAAUGUGUAUCAAUUUAUAAUUAUUUCAUUCCAUUUGCUUUUUAGUUGAAUGAGUGUUAAAUG